rnacentral:rRNA from 1 species
UACGUAGGGUGCAAGCGUUGUCCGGAAUUAUUGGGCGUAAAGAGCUCGUAGGCGGUCCGUCACGUCGGAUGUGAAAACCCGGGGCUCAACUCCGGGCCUGCAGUCGAUACGGGCGGACUAGAGUACUGCAGGGGAGACUGGAAUUCCUGGUGUAGCGGUGAAAUGCGCAGAUAUCAGGAGGAACACCGGUGGCGAAGGCGGGUCUCUGGGCAGUAACUGACGCUGAGGAGCGAAAGCCUGGGGAGCAAACGGG